GUGAACAGGCUUUGAAAUCCAGAGACAUGGCCGAUUAGGUUUAGAGAUGCAUAGUAAGUUACUAAGUAAAGAAUAAUAACGUGAGACGGCAGCUCAAGGAAUAUAAGAAAAUGAUAUAUGAAGAGGAAGACGAAGAAAUCGAAGAAGAUAAUAACAAUGCGAGACGGCAGCAUGGCCAAAGAAAACAUAAGUUGAUGUAUGAUUAUGAAUAUGAACAAGAAGACGAAGAAAACGACGUUGCAGACGAAAUAGGUCAAUACGGAUUGAGAAAACAGCCUGAUGUCGGUUAUAAGAGAAUGUGAAAUAUUGAAUCAGAGGAUAGCGACGAUUACGAGGAAAAGGAUUUCAAUAUCAUGGACGGUGUAGAUAUAGGCUGUGGAGGGUGCCCGAUGUUUGAUUCGAAUUAAAGACGAGAAAGAUGUAAACGUAUGCUGCUCAAAAGCCAUUAUAACGGGGAUUUCAAUGUUAGAGGAUAAAUGAAACAAAUCUAGAUGUGAUAAAAUUAGACGACGUCAUUAUUAUCAGCAACAAGAGACUGAACAAUUAUUAUAAGGGCUAGGGUAGAUAAGGGACUUUGUGGGAUAAAUGAUUAUUAAGCGUUUUCAGGAUGUUCUACCCGAAUAUCAAAUAAUUUUGAUUUCUCGGGACAAUCUUUGCUCAGUAAUUUUUAGUGGGGAGAAAAACUGGUUUAUCUAUACCACCUCGAUAAUCACUACGAUUAAUUAACAAAACUAACAGCCAUUUUUAAAGUGAACAAUUUUUGUGUAAGGGAUAUAAUAAUAACAAUUAAUAACUGCAAAUUCAUUUGCGAAUUAUGCCAU